rnacentral:rRNA from 1 species
UACGUAGGGCGCAAGCGUUGUCCGGAAUUAUUGGGCGUAAAGAGCUCGUAGGCGGUCUGUCGCGUCUGUUGUGAAAACUCGAGGCUCAACCUCGGGGCUUGCAGUGGAUACGGGGCAGACUAGAGUGCGGUAGGGGGAGACUGGAAUUCCUGGUGUAGCGGUGGAAUGCGCAGAUAUCGGGAGGAACACCGGUGGCGAAGGCGG